rnacentral:misc_RNA from 1 species
GUUUCAGCCAGUGAAGAAAACGUCUACGUUUGGAACUACAAUUGCAAGGACAAAGCAUCUUGGAAAAAGAAAAUUUGGUCGUCCGAAAGUUUCUUCUCUCGUAGCGCAUCAAUAGCCAUACCUUGGUCUGGUGUGAAAAUCACACCUGAACCACCACUGUCCCCAACACGAGUUUGCGAUACAGCGGGAAGUAUCCCCGAAAUGGAGCCGAAG